UGGUAAGGCAGUAUGUGAUGGUGUGCAAUUUUUCAGACAGUCAACCUAUUUUGAAGGUACAUUACUGAAUUUGCACAUCAUCAGAAAAUCACUGAGUUGUAUUGGUCCAGCUGAAUUUCUGCUUGACCUCAGAAGGCAGUCUAGCUCUUAACAGCAGCUGAGCUAGACGACAUGGUCACUGAUGAAAAGUGAUCGUCUUAAAUUUUGCAGAAGUCAAAGGCUUCUCACUCUGAAGAGCGUGAACUCAGCAAGUCCUGAGAAACCGUGGCAACCACCAGUCAAACUCCAGCCCACAACUUCCACUGAGUGCAAAACUCAUCAAGAGUAUGGUUGGAAGGCUCUUUGUUCGUGAAGCCAAAAGAUUUACGCUGCCAAGAGUCUCUCUCUGCUAUGAAGGUUAUCUUAUCUGCAUAUUAAAUGUUCUACCAAUCACUGACAAACUCAAUCAAAUAAUUCCUGGACUACAUUCUUGUCACCAGAAAGGAUACAGUCCAGUGACAGUGUUCUACAUAUAA
rnacentral:lncRNA from 1 species